UACGUAGGGGGCGAGCGUUGUCCGGAUUUAUUGGGUGUAAAAGGCUUGUAGGUGGCCACGUCAAGUCGGAUGUGAAAUCUCCCGGCUCAACUGGGAGGGGUCAUUCGAUACUGGCGGGCUCGAGGCCGGUAGGGGGAAGCGGAAUUCCCGGUGUAGUGGUGGAAUGCGUAGAUAUCGGGAGGAACACCAGUGGCGAAGGCGGCUUCCUGGACCGGUUCUGACACUG
rnacentral:rRNA from 1 species